UGAUCCUGAUACGCCUGUAGGAGUCAGUAAGAGCCUCAACUUCAUUUCCUCCUUGUUAAACUGAAAAAAAAAAAAACAAACACAAAACUAUGCAGUUCAUCUGCGUAUAACGGACACGGUGGGCUGUCAGGAAGAAAGUUUGGAAGUAGGACUUUCCUGUCACUUUGUUGGAGGAAUCAAAGCAGCUUUCUAAACCGCUGCUGUUUUUUGGGGCUUUUCUAAAGUUCCCUGGAAAUGAUUUCAUUUCCCCGUCUCGGCUGACUGCAGCAGGACUGCUAGAGGACAACAAACUAGAAGUAAACCAGGCAAGCCGCAGGGCUCCAUCCCGUUGACUGCAGACCACAUUGUGCCGUUUGGACCAGCCCAUUCUGAGGAGCUGACAGUCUCCUGCUUUUUCAGUCUCCAGUGAAAGACUGGUGAUCUGUCUGGAGUGUACACUGCCUCCUACCCAUAGACUGCUGGAGAAAGGCACUGGCUCAACCACAACCCUGAUGGAAUAAGAGGGAGAAGUUGGAUGGUAGCCAUUGCUGUUAGAAGGGAAAAGCCAUCACUGAACAGAGGGGUUU